UAGCACAUGCAGCAGCAGAUGUAUGUUCUUUUGGUUCAUUCUGAGAUAAAGUAAUAAUUUGAUAAGGUUCUGCUCUUCCAAGCCAUGUUUCCAUGGAUCUGUCUUGUCCAGUCUUGAGCAACAUUAAAUGUGAAGAACAGGUGAUGAGCAACACCCAGUCCAUUCUUAUUUCCAUACCACUGAAGUUUUGUCUUUGAAAGACAUUCCACUAUGGAACCUGUGUAAUUCAGAGACAAUAAGAGACAGUCAAAAAUAAGCUGCCAGGUCUACUAUUGAUCUCAAGGUUGCACGACUAUGUCUCCACAAAUGCUGUGAAAGUAUGAAGAGCCAAGCAGGAGCUCUUGCAUCUUCCAUCAGUGGGCCCUAAACACUGCACUAGGAGACCAAAGACAGAACAGCAUCUCUGCGUUUGGAAGAGGAACUGCCAUUAUUCUAUGAGUAGAAACAAGAUGACUAAAAAAACCAGAAAUCUGGUGUAACUUAAAAUGAGCCCCAACUUUUGAAGGGAGUGGUAAAAUGCUGGAAGUACCAUAGAACUGUCGUUUGAAGUUUCAAAAAUCUUUCUCUGCAUUUCCCUUUGAAAAAGAGAACUAGUUAGUCAAGGUGGGUGAAGUGCAGUCUGAAAUAAUGUCUGGUUACACCAUGUAGCUGCAUCUCAUAUAACUCUAUGUAAGUGACUGAGAAACUGUGGGGGUUUUGUUCAGUAAUCUUAAGCAGUUACUAAGCUGUCGAAAAAGCCUGUGCUAGUGUUUUUCAUCUUGCCAACACUUCUGAACCAAGUCUAAAAGAUGUGUCUUUGAUAUAAAGAAUUAACAUAUACCCAGUAAACAUGAGAUCAGCAGAAACAUCAAUCACUGUACAGCAAAGGAGGCUUUGUUUUGCUUUAGAUGUGCUCUCUUUCAGAAAGUUUGUCUUUCUCAGAAUACCUAUGAAUUGACUAUAGAAACAGUAUAAGAGCAUCCUGCCUUGAAACAAACAGAAGCUUUUCCCUUACAUAACUUAAAAAGAGAUUAAUGCUGCCAGCACUUGACCCUCCCAUUGCCCAAAGAUUAAAUUUCCCUGCUAAGUAAGUCUAGAGUGAAAAUAAAACAAUUUAUUUUUCCCCCCAUGAAAUUUUCUGUGCUAUGGCAUACCACUAGUCUGGUCUUCAGGACUGACAUUUCCCUAUUAUCUUGCUUGGUUUCCUUGGCUCAGUCUCAAAAAUAGGAUAUUUGAAAAGAUGUGUCUUUUAGUUACAAUUAGGGAACUAAAAGAAAGAAAUAUAUGAUAAUAAACACUAAUGACAGAAUUUUGAGUUGAGGGAUGGGUUGUUGGUUUGGUUUUUUGUUUUUUUUUUUUUUUUUUUUUUUUUUUUCCCCCAAAAAUAAGCUGCAAAAUCUGUUUUGGUAUUCCUGAGCAAUUUUUUAAUUUUUUUACCCUCUGUUUUUGCCUGAUAUUCAUAUAGAGAGAAAACAGCAGAUUGAGCCCAAAGGUAUGAAAUCAUGCUUUUAUCAGGGAACACUUAUCCUCAGUGCAAACUUAUCAGCAUUGCUGGGUCAAAAAUUAUAUAGCUGACAGCUAUAACAUUAUAGUCCUUUAAAACCCUUUCAAAUAAUGACAGCAUUGUUCAUCUUCUAGAAACCUGUGAGACCACUGAAACCUUUUUAGUUUAGAAAGGAUACUGCUUUGAUUUUGUGAAGGAAAACUUUAAUGUAAGAACACAGUAAAUUUUGGUUUAUGAAUUAUGAACUCAAAGGACAAAGUACACAAUAAAAUAAACAUCUUUUUGUGUUAGGUCUGUCUUGUAGUAUACUGUGUUUCUCUUUAAUGUUGUUGGAGACAGCAUUUGUCUUCAAUCUAUAUUAUAUCACUAAAAACCAAAAAGCAGUUUACUUUUUACAGAUGGCAUUAUGUGAAAACUAUUUGUCAGAACUAUUUAAAGUUGCAAGAGCAGUAAGAGAAUGCACUGGAAUACUGAAUUAAAAAUAAUUUUUAAGCUUUAGAAAUUUUAGUUGUAAACUAUUUAUUAUUGGCAAUAUGGCUAUUGUACUAUUUCAUUUUGAAGAAAGAAAAACUCUUUUUUGACUCUUAAAUAUUAUUUUUUUGCAUUCCAAGUUAAUUUCCAAGAACCAACACUACAGAAA